rnacentral:rRNA from 1 species
UGCAGUCGAGCGGAACGAUGAUAGCUUGCUAUCAGGCGUCGAGCGGCGGACGGGUGAGUAAUACUUAGGAAUCUACCUAGUAGUGGGGGAUAGCACGGGGAAACUCGUAUUAAUACCGCAUACGUCCUACGGGAGAAAGGGGGCAACUUGUUGCUCUCGCUAUUAGAUGAGCCUAAGUCGGAUUAGCUAGAUGGUGGGGUAAAGGCCUACCAUGGCGACGAUCUGUAGCUGGUCUGAGAGGAUGAUCAGCCACACCGGGACUGAGACACGGCCCGGACUCCUACGGGAGGCAGCAGUGGGGAAUAUUGGACAAUGGGGGAAACCCUGAUCCAGCCAUGCCGCGUGUGUGAAGAAGGCCUUUUGGUUGUAAAGCACUUUAAGCAGUGAAGAAGACUCCUCGGUUAAUACCCGUGGACGAUGACAUUAGCUGCAGAAUAAGCACCGGCUAACUCUGUGCCAGCAGCCGCGGUAAUACAGAGGGUGCAAGCGUUAAUCGGAAUUACUGGGCGUAAAGCGAGCGUAGGUGGCUUGAUAAGUCAGAUGUGAAAUCCCCGGGCUUAACCUGGGAACUGCAUCUGAAACUGUCAGACUAGAGUAGGUGAGAGGGAGGUAGAAUUUCAGGUGUAGCGGUGAAAUGCGUAGAGAUCUGAAGGAAUACCGAUGGCGAAGGCAGCCUCCUGGCAUCAUACUGACACUGAGGCUCGAAAGCGUGGGUAGCAAACAGGAUUAGAUACCCUGGUAGUCCACGCCGUAAACGAUGUCUACUAGUCGUUGGGUCCCUUGAGGACUUAGUGACGCAGCUAACGCAAUAAGUAGACCGCCUGGGGAGUACGGCCGCAAGGUUAAAACUCAAAUGAAUUGACGGGGGCCCGCACAAGCGGUGGAGCAUGUGGUUUAAUUCGAUGCAACGCGAA